rnacentral:rRNA from 1 species
GCGUGGUCUGUUGAGGGUGCUGGAGUAAUGACGAGGUUCCAAUCUGUAUCCUGAAUCCGUUGGUGUUAAGGUGUCGGAGUGUGGUUUAUAAGUCAGUGUGUAAAGCCCAUGGCGCAUCGAGUGAUGUUCCAGUGAUACUGUAAGACUGUAAUGCUUAUGAAGUAACUAGAAUAUGUAGUGUAGCGGUGAAAUGCUUAGAGAUUACAUGGAAUACCAAUUGCGAAGGCAGGUUACUACUAAGGGAUUGACGCUGAUGGACGAAAGCGUGGGGAGCGAACAGGAUUAGAUACCCUGGUAGUC